rnacentral:lncRNA from 10 species
CGAGUCCAUCUAGUUCAGACUCAGACAGGUGGAAGAAGUCAACUCCUAACUAGGGUAUAAUGAAGCAUGAUGGAAGUAUUUGACCCAGCGGCUCUUCUAUACCCAGGAGGCCCUGACUGCCACAUUCACCAGUUGAUUUUCCAGGGAACAUAAUCAGAGGCAGAAUCGUCUGGUGGUUAAAAGUACAAUCUGGAGUUAGACUGCUUGAUUUUCAAUCCCAGCUCUUCCACUCAUCAGCUUUGUUAUCUUAGGGCCAGGUAACUAGAUUGAAGCAGAGUCCAUGAAGAACUAACCAUGCCUCACUCCACCCCUGCAGAUGGCUCCUUCAUGAAGAUCUCCCCAUUUGGAACACAACAUCUGUUUCCUGCUGGGACCCUGACUGACACAAGGGUCAAAAUAAGCUCCUCCAUGGGAAGCAUUGAGAGAGGCAGAAAAUAAAGAGAAGGAAGAUAAUACUAUCCA